UACGGAGGGUGCAAGCGUUAUCCGGAAUCAUUGGGUUUAAAGGGUCCGCAGGCGGAUUUAUAAGUCAGUGGUGAAAGCCCGUCGCUCAACGACGGAACUGCCAUUGAUACUGUAAGUCUUGAAUUCGGUCGAAGUGGGCGGAAUAUGACAUGUAGCGGUGAAAUGCUUAGAUAUGUCAUAGAACACCGAUAGCGAAGGCAGCUCACUAGGCCUGGAUUGACGCUCGAGGGACGAAAGCGGUGGGGAAGCAA
rnacentral:rRNA from 1 species